rnacentral:tRNA from 1 species
AGUCAUUUGGCCGAGUUUACAAGCAAAUGUUUUGAAAACAUUCAACAGGAAUUGAUCCUAAUGACUU